rnacentral:rRNA from 1 species
GAACGUCGUGAGACAGUUCGGUCCAUAUCCGGUGGAGGCGUUAGAGUAUUGAGAGGAUUCUUCCUUAGUACGAGAGGACCGGGAAAGACACACAACCGGUAUACCAGUUAUUGUUGCCAACGGUAAACGCUGGGUAGCUUUGUGUGGAGUGGAUAACUGCUGAAAGCAUCUAAGUAGGAAGCCCACCUCAAGAUGAGUACUCUCUAAGGUCACGGUAAGAACAACCGUUAGAUAGGUAUCAGGUGUAAGUGCAGUAAUGUAUUCAGCCGAGAUAUACUAAUAGACCGUAUGAAUUGAU